ACUUCCGGGAUGGGUGAGACGAACUCCGGAAGUAGUUGAGAAAGCGGAGGCGCCAGAGUCUGGUCGUCUGCUGGGAUUCCUUCAGGUUCUUCGCCGCCAUGGGGAAGCGACAACACCAGAAGGAUAAGAUGUACAUCACCUGCGCUGAGUACACUCACUUCUAUGGCGGCAGGAAGCCAGAUAUCACACGGACAAGUUUUCGCCGCUUACCUUUUGAUCACUGUAGUCUCUCCCUGCAGCCUUUUGUCUACCCGGUCUGCACUCCAGAAGGUGUCGUCUUUGAUUUGCUGAACAUUGUUCCAUGGCUUAAGAAGUAUGGGACCAAUCCCAGCAAUGGAGAGAAACUUGAUGGGAAGUCCUUGAUCAAGCUGAACUUUGCAAAGAACAGUGAAGGUCAGUACCACUGUCCAGUGCUGUACUCGGUGUUUACUGACAACACUCAUAUUGUGGCUAUCAGGACAACUGGCAAUGUCUACACCUAUGAGGCAGUGGAGCAGCUAAACAUCAAGGCCAAGAACUUGAGGGACUUAUUGACUGAUGAGCCCUUUUCCAGGCAAGACAUCAUCACCCUGCAGGACCCCACCAAUCUGGACAAAUUCAAUGUUUCCAACUUCUUCCAUGUGAAGAAUAACAUGAAAGUCAUAGAUCCAGAUGAGGAAAAGGCCAAACAGGACCCAUCUUAUUACUUGAAAAAUACGAAUGCUGAGACCCGAGAGACACUACAGGAGCUCUACAAAGAGUUCAAAGGAGAUGAGAUUUUAGCAGCCACCAUGAAGGCACCUGAGAAGAAGAAGGUGGACCAACUGAAUGCUGCCCACUAUUCCACAGGAAAGGUCAGCGCGUCCUUCACCUCCACUGCCAUGGUACCCGAGACCACGCAUGAAGCAGCUGUCAUUGAUGAGGAUGUUCUACGCUACCAGUUUGUGAAGAAGAAGGGCUAUGUGAGGCUACACACCAACAAGGGCGACCUUAACCUCGAGCUGCACUGUGACCUGACACCAAAAACCUGUGAAAACUUCAUCAAGCUCUGCAAGAAACAGUAUUAUGAUGGCACCAUCUUUCAUAGGUCCAUCAGGAACUUUGUGAUCCAGGGCGGUGACCCCACAGGUACAGGCACAGGUGGAGAGUCCUACUGGGGCAAGCCUUUCAAAGAUGAGUUCCGCCCCAACCUCUCCCACACAGGCCGUGGGGUGCUCAGCAUGGCCAACUCGGGGCCCAACACCAACAAGUCUCAGUUCUUCAUCACGUUGCGCUCCUGUCCUUACCUGGAUAAGAAGCACACCAUCUUUGGACGGGUUGUUGGGGGUUUUGACACACUGACAGCUAUGGAGAAUGUGGAGAGUGACCCUAAAACUGACCGUCCCAAGGAGGAAAUACGCAUAUGUGCAACCACGGUGUUUGUGGACCCCUAUGAGGAGGCUGAUGCCCAGAUUGCCCAGGAGAGGAAGAAGACACAGCAGCAAGUGGAUCCAGAGGCCAAGGUCAAGACGAGCCAGCCCCAGCCUGGAAACCAGGGCCCCCAGACAUAUCGCCAGGGGGUGGGCAAGUACAUCAACCCAGCAGCCACGAAGCGAGCAGCAGAGGAAGAACCAUCAACCAGCACAGCUGUCCCCAUGGCCAAGAAGAAGCCCAGCCGGGGCUUUGGGGACUUCAGCUCCUGGUAGCGGCAGGCUGGUCUCAUGGAUCCUGGUAGGGUACAUGGUUGUGGGCUUCAGUCUCUGAGCUGUCUGUCCUUGUCAAAUUUGGCUCUGAGCCAAUAAACAUAUUGCCUAUGACUGGGUCCAGUUUUGGCCCCUGGGACUCCUGGCCUCUCGAUCCCUCGUCUGGUGCCAAUGGACCUGUCUUGGGUUAGCGAGGAAGGCCGUGUCCUUUACCCCCCCACCCCAGCCAUCUCUGCCUCAGGAUGGCUAUGUGCUCACUCAGCACAGUUCCCUGGCUAGUGCCACCACCAGUAGAUUCUCUAAAAAAUGCAGAUGCUCAAGGAGCCGCUGUCAUCCCAGCAUUCGGAAUGCCAAGGCAGGGAGGGUGAGUGCUUAGGGCUAACCUGGGCUACAAAGGGAGACUCUCUCAAAAGAAAUUUAGAUAUGGAGAUUGAGACUGGUUCUCAGACCCUGGUUUGGAUCCUGAGGCGGAGUUUGCACUCCCAGGCUGACAAGAUCUUGUGAGCUUCCUUCUGUUGACAGCACUUCCGUAAGCACUCCACUGCUUGCCUGGGGCAGGCAUGCUUGACGUCCUGUCUGCUCUUUCUGCAUCAGCCCUACCUUGGCCACACCCCGGGAGCCUGGGUCCUCACGGGCUCUGCAGCCCUGACCAUCCUUUGCUCCCAGUGGAUGCUGCAGAAGCGUGGUCAUCCCUCUGCAGAGAGGCCUCACCUCCAGACGGCAAGCACGCUGCAGACCUUGCUGUCUGACGUCGGCAUCUUUGGCCAGGCGACGGGGAGCCAAGGGUGCUGUGUAUGCUUGAGCUUGGUGGCCCUGCUACUCAUGGCGAGCUCCCAGCUGCGUCCAGUCACUGUCCGGUCAGCCUUACCCAGCAGCCCACUCUUGUCCUCCGGGAGAGAGGACAGGACCCACCAGGGCUUACACUUCUACAGGUUGUAUAGAGCUUAAAUGGCAGCUUUUUAGACAGUAAUGACACUUGGAUUUUGAAAACUGCCUCAUGAGGUCAUCAGAAAAUAAAGGACUUUUUUAAAGGAAAAAA